rnacentral:rRNA from 1 species
AUGUGAUCGUCUCUCGCAUAUCAAUAAGCGGAGGAAAAGAAACUAACAAGGAUUCCCCUAGUAACGGCGAGUGAAGCGGGAAGAGCUCAAAUUUGAAAUCUUAAAGGGUUUCCCUUUACGAAUUGUAGUUUAAAGAAGUGUUUUCUGUUGAGGUUUUGGUAAAAGUUCUUUGGAAUAGGACAUCAUAGAGGGUGAGAAUCCCGUAUUUGACCUUUACUUUCAACUUUGUGAUACACUUUCAAAGAGUCGGAUUGUUUGGGAAUGCAGUCCAAAAUGGGUGGUAAAUUUCAUCUAAAGCUAAAUAUUGGCGAGAGACCGAUAGCGAACAAGUACCGUGAGGGAAAGAUGAAAAGAACUUUGAAAAGAGAGUUAAACAGUACGUGAAAUUGUCAAAAGGGAAGCGUUUGACACCAGUGUUGUUUUUCUGAAAAUCAAUUAAAGAACUGUUUAUGCUAAGUUGUUUAGACUUUAUCAGCUAUCUGUUUAGUUUUGAGCUUUUCUUUAAUGCACUUUUCAGUUAACAAGUCAACAUCAAUUUCUUUUGCUGUAAAAAAGCUUGAGGAAGGUGGCUUGAGAUUCGUCUUAAGUGUUUAUAGCCUCUUGCCUAUGCAGUCGGAGAGAUUGAGGUCUGCAGCGUAGAUCCUUCGGGGCUAAAUGCAUUUGUGCUAAGUUAUAGCAUUUUAUAGACAACUUGUUGACUAUGAUUUGUCUUGUAGCUUACUCGCUUAUGUUAUUUUACCUACGCUUAGGAUGUUGACACACGCGCGUGCUCG